rnacentral:rRNA from 1 species
GUUAUAGUUUAUUUGAUAUAUUAAAUGGAUAACUGUAGAAAAACUAGAGCUAAUACAUGCCGAAGCCGCAAGGUUGUAUUUAUUAGAUAUUCCAAUUAGGUGAAUCAUGAUAACUUUUCAAAUCUCGGUUUUGCCGAGAUAAAUCAUCCAAGUUUCUGCCCUAUCAUGCUUUCGAUGGUAGUGUAUUGGACUACCAUGGCUUUCACGGGUAACAGGGAAUUAGGGUUCGAUUCUGGAGAAGGAGCCUGAGAAACGGCUACUACAUCUACGGAAGGCAGCAGGCGCGUAAAUUACCCAAUCCUGACUCAGGGAGGUGGUGACAAGAUAUAACAACGCAAUUUAAUUGUGAUUGUAGUGAGGGUUUUCCAAACCGAACCACUAGUACGAUUAGAGGGCAAGUCUGGUGCCAGCAGCCGCGGUAAUUCCAGCUCUAAUAGCGUAUAUUAAAGUUGCUGCAGUUAAAAAGCUCGUAGUUGGAUUUCAAGGAUUGUGUACUCUUCUAGGGUAUGCACCCUACUAGUCUUUGACUGUUACUGUGAGAAAAUUAGAGUGUUUAAAGCAGGCAAUUGCAAGAAUACAUUAGCAUGGAAUAACGAAUGUAUCUAGAAUCUUGGUUAAUUCUAGGUUUCGAUUAAUAGAGACAGUUGGGGGCAUUAGUAUUUAAUUGUCAGAGGUGAAAUUCUUGGAUUUGUUAAAGACUAACGUAUGCGAAAGCAUUUGCCAAGGAUGUUUUCAUUA